AAAAAUGGUUCCGGUCUAAAUGGAUUAAGCAUCUUCGGGCUUGGUUAGUACUUGGAUGGGUGACCGCCUGGGAAGACCAAGUAUCGUAUUUU
rnacentral:rRNA from 1 species